rnacentral:rRNA from 1 species
AUUGAACGCUGGCGGCAGGCCUAACACAUGCAAGUCGAGCGGGGUUUUCGGACCUAGCGGCGGACGGGUGAGUAAUGCGUAGGAAGCUACCCGAUAGAGGGGGAUACCAGUUGGAAACGACUGUUAAUACCGCAUAAUGUCUACGGACCAAAGUGUGGGACCUUCGGGCCACAUGCUAUCGGAUGCGCCUACGUGGGAUUAGCCAGUUGGUGGGGUAAUGGCUCACCAAGGCGACGAUCCCUAGCUGGUUUGAGAGGAUGAUCAGCCACACUGGAACUGAGACUCGGUCCAGACUCCUACGGGAGGCAGCAGUGGGGAAUAUUGGACAAUGGGCGCAAGCCUGAUCCAGCCAUGCCGCGUGUGUGAAGAAGGCCUUCGGGUUGUAAAGCACUUUCAGUAGGGAGGAAGGGUGUUGUGUUAAUAGCACAGCAUUUUGACGUUACCUACAGAAGUAGCACCGGCUAACUCUGAGCCAGCCGCCGCGGUAACAC